AUUGAACGCUAGCGGCAUGCCUUACACAUGCAAGUCGAACGAGUGGCGGACGGGUGAGUAAUGUCUGUGAACCUGCCCGAUGGAGGGGGAUAACUACUGGAAACAGUAGCUAAUACCGCAUACCAUCGGAUUGGCCCAGAUGGGCUUAGCUAGUGGGGGGGGUAACGGCUCACCAAGGCCACGAUCCCUAGCUGGUUUGAGAGGCUGACCAGCAACACUUGAACUGGGACCCGGCCCAGACUCCUACGGGAGGCAGCAGUGGGUAAUGUUGGACAAUGGGGGAAAGCCUGAUGCAGCCAUGCCGCGUGUAUGAGGAAGGCCUUCGGGUUGUAAAGUACUUUCAGCGAGGAGGCGUUACUCGCAGAAUAAGCACCGGCUAACUCCGUGCCAGCAGCCGCGGUAAUAC
rnacentral:rRNA from 1 species